ensembl:misc_RNA Metazoa_SRP Metazoan signal recognition particle RNA
GCCGGGCGCGGUGCGGCGUGCCUGUAGUCCCAGCUACUGGAGGAUCGCUUGAGCCCAGCAGUUCUGCGCUGUAGUGUGCUAUGCCGGUCGGGUGUCUGCACUAAGUUCGGCAUCAAUAUGGUGACCUCCCGGGAGCGGGGGACCACCAGGUUGCCUAAGGAGGGAUGAACCGGCCCAGGUCGGAAACCCAGCAGGUCAAAACUCCCGUGCUGAUCAGUAGUGGGAUCUCACCUGUGAACAGCCACUGCAUUGCAGCCUGAGCAACACAGAGAGACCCUGUCU